ACCAAACUGAGCCAACAUACCUUGGCUUGAGAUACUAUGAUGUCAUUUAUGAGCAGUGUAGCAUCGCUAAGAAGCUGCCUUUCUAGAACAUAUUAACCCAGGAGCCUGGCUUUCCAAUGCUCCUGGCCUAGUCUGACCAUUACAGGGCUCUAAGAGAAUUAGAGCCUCAACUAGAGUUUCUACUAAAGGGCUUUCCAAACAGAGGGAACACAAAUUUCCAAAUACAAGAGGUGCUAAAAUGGUUGACUUCAGGCAACCAGAGAACCUGGCAGGAUAUUGGAGGCUGGAGAAGAAGAGAGGUCUGAGGGUUUAUCCUCACAUUGCCUGCCCCCAUUGGGACAGUGGUGUGAAAGCCUAAAGGCAGCACCUGCUCCCAGUAAGGAUGAAGACCGUGGUUAUAACUUCUUGGUUCUCUGAACACUGUUUACACCUGUAUAUACAAGCCUUUCAUUAAACAGCCUUUGCUUCGUUCUUUGAUCCUGUUUUCUGCUGAGACCCUGAUUGCUACAGCGCCUCCAGAUGUUGCAAUGGUAAGACAACAAAGUUUGGGGGA